UCUGUCAUUUCAGGGUGUUU
rnacentral:piRNA from 1 species